rnacentral:sRNA from 1 species
AAAAGAAGAGGCACCCGCUUCUCACCUGAAUUGACGCAAUAGGCUGUUGACAGGUUUUACGUAAGCAUUUUUCUUAUUAAAAUGAGGUUUUCGUAAAGUGUGGGUGUAUGCUAUCCACACUUUUUUGUUU